rnacentral:rRNA from 1 species
GACGUAGGGGGCCAGCGUUGUUCGGAAUUACUGGGUGUAAAGGGUUCGUAGGCGGUGUGGCAAGUCGGGAGUGAAAUCUCUGGGCUCAACUCAGAGACUGCUUCCGAAACUGCUGUGCUGGAGUGUGGGAGAGGCGCGUGGAAUUGCAGGUGUAGCGGUGAAAUGCGUAGAUAUCUGCAGGAACACCCGUGGCGAAAGCGGGUUGCUGGGCUGACACUGACGCUGAUGCGCGAAAGCCAGGGGAGCGAACGGG